rnacentral:rRNA from 1 species
AUGGCGAUGGUGACGGUGAAGCUCAGCUCCCCGGUCGCCGCCCGGCUCGUGCCCUCCGCCGGGAGCGCCCGCCGCGCCUCGCGCGUCCGCGUCCGCGCAUCCGGCGGCUCCUACGCCGACGAGCUCGUCUCCACCGCGGAUUGUCAAGCAGUGGCGACGAUGACGGCGACGGUGGCGGGUGCUGAGGUCCUGGCCAUGCGCUUUCAUACCUCCUCGGGCCGGGCUGUUGUGCUUAGUUCUUCUUCCUACUUUGGCGACAUAGCAGGGACCCUAUUAGUCUGUGCUCAGUUGAUGGCGGUUCUAUGGCGACGUCUGGUCCAACAAAUCAGCGAGAACAAAUCAAGAAGCCAUACUGCUUGCCAGCGGGGUGAACGUCUCCCCAGAAUCAGCACUGGGUCACGGCCUGUGGUCGAAGCUGUCUCUAUCUGGGAAGAUGGAAACUCCAUCGCCUCCGUGCAGCCCCCCGCCGCGGACCUCGAUGAUCAAGAACUCUGUGAUCAGUCCGGUGUCUACCUUGGAUACAUGCUCUCCAACUCAGACACCGCUGAAGAAAACAAAGAGAAGUCAGUGCACACCGGUCUCCUGUGUGGAUGGCUGUUCUGUGGUUUCAACCUAGUGCCUUCUUAUGAGCUUGUCCCUAAAGCAUUUAUAGUGUUAACAAUCCUGGCAUGUAAUAAUUAA